CAUUAGCGUAUACUAAAGUUGCUGCGGUUAAAAAGCUCGUAGUUGGAUUUUGGAAGCACACUCGAGAGGGUGCAUGGAGGGAGAGGGUAUUGGGAAGGUGGGCGCUACUAGUUAGUGUCGUGCUUCCUUCCUCUCUCUUGCUUUCGCUAUCGUUUGAGAUAACAGUGUCAGUUUGCGUUUCUGUGGUUUUAAUUAAUUGCGGAUUUAUCGCGCUGUCGAAUUUACUUUGAAAAAAGAGGAGCGUUCAAAGCAGGCCUUUUUGUUGCGGCCGUUGAACAUUUUAGCAUGGGAUAAUGGAAGAGGACUUUUUGUCCAUUUUGUUGGUUUUCAGACAAGAAGUAAUGAUUGAGAGGGACAGUUGGGGAUCUUCGUAUUCAGUUGUCAGAGGUGAAAUUCUUGGAUUAUCGGAAGACGAACUUCUGCGAAAGCAUUGAUCAAGGAUGUUUUCAUUAA
rnacentral:rRNA from 1 species